rnacentral:rRNA from 1 species
AGAAUCAACGCUGGCGGCGUGCCUAACACAUGCAAGUCGAACGAGAAAGUGGAGCAAUCCAUGAGUAAAGUGGCGCACGGGUGAGUAACACGUGACUAACCUACCCUUGAGUGGGGGAUAACCUAGGGAAACCUGGGCUAAUACCGCAUAAUACCUUCGGGUCAAAGGAGCAAUUCGCUUAAGGAGGGGGUCGCGGCCGAUUAGUUAGUUGGCGGGGUAAUGGCCCACCAAGACUGUGAUCGGUAUCCGGCCUGAGAGGGCGCACGGACACACUGGAACUGAAACACGGUCCAGACUCCUACGGGAGGCAGCAGUGGGGAAUUUUGCGCAAUGGGGGAAACCCUGACGCAGCAACGCCGCGUGGAGGAUGAAGUCCCUUGGGACGUAAACUCCUUUCGAUCGGGACGAUUAUGGACGGUACCGGAAGAAGAACGCCCCGGCUAACUUCGCGCCAGCAGCCGC